rnacentral:rRNA from 1 species
AGCGAACGCUGGCGGCAGGCCUAACACAUGCAAGUCGAACGAACUCUUCGGAGUUAGUGGCGGACGGGUGAGUAACACGUGGGAACGUGCCUUUAGGUUCGGAAUAACUCAGGGAAACUUGUGCUAAUACCGAAUGUGCCCUUCGGGGGAAAGAUUUAUCGCCUUUAGAGCGGCCCGCGUCUGAUUAGCUAGUUGGUGAGGUAACGGCUCACCAAGGCGACGAUCAGUAGCUGGUCUGAGAGGAUGACCAGCCACACUGGGACUGAGACACGGCCCAGACUCCUACGGGAGGCAGCAGUGGGGAAUCUUGCGCAAUGGGCGAAAGCCUGACGCAGCCAUGCCGCGUGAAUGAUGAAGGUCUUAGGAUUGUAAAAUUCUUUCACCGGGGACGAUAAUGACGGUACCCGGAGAAGAAGCCCCGGCUAACUUCGUGCCAGCAGCCGCCGUAAAAC